rnacentral:rRNA from 1 species
GAUGAACGCUGGCGGCGUGCCUAACACAUGCAAGUCGAGCGAGUAAUUCAGGAGUAAAGCUUCGGUUGAGCGAAUGAAUGGAAAGCGGCGGACGGGUGAGUAACGCGUAGGCAACCUGCCCCUGACAGAGGGAUAGCCUCGGGAAACUGGGAUUAAAACCUCAUAAAGCGAGAGGUUCACAUGAACUUUUCGCCAAAGAUUUAUCGGUCAGGGGUGGGCCUGCGUCUGAUUAGCUAGUUGGUGGGGUAACGGCUCACCAAGGCAACGAUCAGUAGCCGACCUGAGAGGGUAAUCGGCCACAUUGGAACUGAGACACGGUCCAACCUCCUACGGGAGGCAGCAGUGGGGAAUAUUGCACAAUGGGCGAAAGCCUGAUGCAGCAACGCCGCGUGAGUGAGGAAGGCUUUCGGGUCGUAAAACUCUGUCCUUGGGGAAGAAAAAGGUGACGGUACCCUUGGAGGAAGCCCCGGCUAACUACGUGCCAGCCGCCGCAGUAACAC